rnacentral:rRNA from 1 species
GAUGAACGCUGGCGGCGUGCCUAAUACAUGCAAGUCGAGCGAACGGACGAGAAGCUUGCUUCUCUGAUGUUAGCGGCGGACGGGUGAGUAACACGUGGAUAACCUACCUAUAAGACUGGGAUAACUUCGGGAAACCGGAGCUAAUACCGGAUAAUAUUUUGAACCGCAUGGUUCAAAAGUGAAAGACGGUCUUGCUGUCACUUAUAGAUGGAUCCGCGCUGCAUUAGCUAGUUGGUAAGGUAACGGCUUACCAAGGCAACGAUGCAUAGCCGACCUGAGAGGGUGAUCGGCCACACUGGAACUGAGACACGGUCCAGACUCCUACGGAGGCAGCAGUAGGGAAUCUUCCGCAAUGGGCGAAAGCCUGACGGAGCAACGCCGCGUGAGUGAUGAAGGUCUUCGGAUCGUAAAACUCUGUUAUUAGGGAAGAACAUAUGUGUAAGUAACUGUGCACAUCUUGACGGUACCUAAUCAGAAAGCCACGGCUAACUACGUG